AUUGAACGCUGGCGGCAGGUUUAACACAUGCAAGUCGAGCGGGGGAAGGUAGCUUGCUACCGGACCUAGCGGCGGACGGGUGAGUAAUGCUUAGGAAUCUGCCUAUUAGUGGGGGACAACAUCUCGAAAGGGAUGCUAAUACCGCAUACGUCCUACGGGAGAAAGCAGGGGAUCUUCGGACCUUGCGCUAAUAGAUGAGCCUAAGUCGGAUUAGCUAGUUGGUGGGGUAAAGGCCUACCAAGGCGACGAUCCGUAGCGGGUCUGAGAGGAUGAUCCGCCACACUGGGACUGAGACACGGCCCAGACUCCUACGGGAGGUAGCAGUGGGGAAUAUUGGACAAUGGGGGGAACCCUGAUCCAGCCAUGCCGCGUGUGUGAAGAAGGCCUUAUGGUUGUAAAGCACUUUAAGCGAGGAGGAGGCUACUUUAGUUAAUACCUAGAGAUAGUGGACGUUACUCGCAGAAUAAGCACCGGCUAACUCUGUGCCAGCAGCCGCCGUAA
rnacentral:rRNA from 1 species